rnacentral:rRNA from 1 species
UACGUAGGGGGCAAGCGUUGUCCGGAAUCAUUGGGCGUAAAGCGCGUGUAGGCGGCUCGGUAAGUCCGCUCUGAAAUCCCGAGGCUCAACCUCGGGUCUGCAGUCGAUACGAGCAAACUAGAGUGUUGCAGGGGAGACUGGAAUUCCUGGUGUAGCGGUGAAAUGCGCAGAUAUCAGGAGGAACACCCGUGGCGAAGGCGGCUCUCUGGGACGGUACUGACGCUGAGACGCGAAAGCGUGGGGAGCGAACAGG